UGGGGGAUAUUGCACAAUGGGCGAAAGCCUGAUGCAGCGACGUCGCGUGGGGGAUGAAGGCCUUCGGGUUGUGAACCUCUUUCGCUCGUGUGCAAGCCGCUAUUUGGGUAGUGGUGAGUGUAGCGGGUAAAGAAGCGCCGGCUAACUACGUGCCAGCAGCCGCGGUAAUACGUAGGGCGCGAGCGUUGUCCGGAUUUAUUGGGCGUAAAGGGCUUGUAGGCGGUUUGUCGCGCCUGUCGUGUAAUCCUCUGGCUUAACUGGGGGUGUGCGGUGGGUACGGGCAAGCUUGAGUGCGGUAGGGGAGAUUGGAAUUCCUGGUGUAGCGGUGGAAUGCGCAGAUAUCAGGAGGAACACCGGUGGCGUAGGCGGGUCUCUGGGCCGUUACUGACGCUGAGGAGCGAAAGCGUGGGGAGCGAACAGG
rnacentral:rRNA from 1 species